CCUCGAAAAUCCAGACCUCUUCUUCACGAACUGCUGUUACCUGUGCUUAUUAUUUCACUGAGAAGCAGAAGCCUCUGAAGAGAAACUCAACAUCCUGCUACCAUCGCAUUUCCCAAGUGGCCCGUUCACCCUUCCUCACAUUCCUUAAGAAUUCAUGCCAACAAGGCUUUCAUCUGCACUAUUUGACCGAAAACUCUCCUGUUGAAAGUCAGUAAUGACCGCAUUCACGCCAAAUCCAGUGGCAAUUUAAUUGGGAUGUUAAUAAGUGUCAAUGAGGGUAAAGCACUUCACAAAGGGCACAAAGACACAAUCACAGAAUCUUUGAAGGUUAUGAAGCAAAUGAUAAUGUCUACAUGAGCAUUAACUACCACUUUUCACCAUCUCUGAAAUGAAAUAUGUGCUUUUGCAAAGUUUCACAAAAUACAGAAGUGAUAUAUGGGGAUCUCCGAGAGAUGGUUUUGCAAAUUGUAAAUGCAGAGAAGGAGUUAACCUACACUUCUUAUUCCAGGUAUCUGACUAAAGCUGUUUUUCUUUAAGCCUGCAAAUCUGCCAGCGUGGAAAAAUUAGCAAUUAACAUCAGCAAGAAAAAUCUAUAGACCAAAGUCACAGAAAACCUGCCUGCCGGGUUUAACUUAUUUUAGGAUUUUUAAAAUAAAAAAACUACUUGAUGUUGUCUGUAAGUUUCUGGCUCUUUCUGAAGACAUUCAAGACUCCAAUUGCGUUGUGUCAUAUGUGUUUUUGAACUUCAAAUGUGACCAUUACAAACACGGUAUGGGCGAAGCCUCUUCUAAUUUGUACUGUCGCUGAGUGGCCCCAGAUGCAGGGAGGAGCUGUCUGCUUACUCUCAGUGGGGUAGCAGAGCCUCCCUUUGGUUGAACAUCUGGAGGUGAUCCCCCAGCAAAGUUGAGCGGUUGCCUUGCUGGCUACAAAACACAAGACGAAACAUCUGUGUGACAGAUAAAUGUGCGAGCCUGUGUGACUCUCGGCCGAGGGCCCAUCUGUAAAACACACCGUGUGUCAUUCGUCUGACACCAGGUGCACUACUUUGGUGGGGAACCCAGCUGAGAGGAAGAUCAUGGCUGUGCUUCUCCUUCUUCUUCCCUUUCAUCUAUGCUCUUCCUCAUCUGUCAGUGUUUCUCGUGUUCUCCCUGCCACUGACGGCGAUCGUACUGAACACCAAGAACGGAGUGGCCAAUCCAUGACCGCUCUGGGCUUGUAACACACACACACUCCUCCGCACUCACAAUGACAUGCUAUAGACCGGGCAGGAUAAUUUAUCUACGUUUCAAACACCUUUAAGCGUGAUCAUUCCACUCUUGUCAAUCCCUGCUAGGCUCAUAAUUAUGGCAGAUCCAUAAUUUCGAUGUUUUAUAUUCCAUGUUAAAUAUCAUAUAGUCUACUGGCAAAUGAUGUAGAAUUCAUGAAAUAAUAUUUAAAGGUUGUGCUGCUAACCUUUACACAUGAGUGCAUUAAGCUCGUCUGUGUAAGUUACACUGUUUGAGAAAAUCUGGAAAUCAACAUAAGUGUAAGUGCUAUCGAAUAAAGUAUCUUUAA